UACGUAGGGUGCGAGCGUUAAUCGGAAUUACUGGGCGUAAAGCGUGCGCAGGCGGUUUUGUAAGCCGGAUGUGAAAUCCCCGGGCUUAACCUGGGAAUGGCAUUCGGGACUGCAAGGCUGGAGUGCGGCAGAGGAGACUGGAAUUCCUGGUGUAGCGGUGAAAUGCGCAGAUAUCAGGAAGAACACCCGUGGCGAAGGCGGCUCUCUGGGACGUGACUGACGCUGAGACGCGAAAGCGUGGGGAGCGAACAGG
rnacentral:rRNA from 1 species